UACGUAGGGUGCAAGCGUUGUCCGGAAUUAUUGGGCGUAAAGAGCUCGUAGGCGGUCUGUCACGUCGGCUGUGAAAACCCGAGGCUCAACCUCGGGCCUGCAGUCGAUACGGGCAGACUAGAGUUCGGUAGGGGAGACUGGAAUUCCUGGUGUAGCGGUGAAAUGCGCAGAUAUCAGGAGGAACACCCGUGGCUAAGGCGGCUCUCUAGUAACGGUACUGACGCUGAGACGCGAAAAGCGUGGGGAGCGAACAGG
rnacentral:rRNA from 1 species